GAACUGCAAAGCGGAAGAAGAAUAUGAUGUCAAAACAAUACCAAGUGUGGGGCAGUCGACAACUUGCUGCUUGCUUGGUGGGUCUGCUCUGUAUUUUUCUUAUUGAAAAGUCAUGAAAUCUGCUGAAGACACGGAGAAUACAUGGGAGAUUUCUCCCUGCUUUGGAUUCCCCUUGAAAAUUGAUAGUGUUUGUUUAUCCAGAUCUAUCAUUGCUGUGCAUAGGGUGUACAGAGUUGGACCUGAAAUUAAGGCAGAGCUGUGAGAUCGAUAGACUGAUGGAACA
rnacentral:lncRNA from 1 species